CUGAUUAUCAAGACUGAAUUUUUAAUAAAGAUUAUGUGAUACAGAAUUAAAUGACAUUAUCUGCAGAAUUAUUGUUGUCUUUCUUUUAAAGCUGGAUAAAAUAUUGAAUGCACAGGAACUUCAGAGUGAAAAUAAGGGAAACAAAAUUCACGAUGAACAUCUGUUUAUUGUGACCCAUCAAGCUUAUGAAUUAUGGUUCAAGCAGAUCCUGUGGGAAUUGGAUUCUGUUCGAGUGAUAUUUGAGAAUGGCCAUGUGAGAGAUGAAAGAAACAUGCUGAAAAUGGUUACUCGGAUGCAGAGAAUUUCAAUAAUCCUUAAAUUGCUUGUGGAACAAUUUUCUGUCCUAGAAACAAUGACAGCACUGGACUUCUUUGACUUUAGGUACAAACAUUUCAGUUACUAUGUUUACAAAUGUCUUAAAAUGAAUUUAUAGGAAACAAAAUACUGAUAAAGAAAAUUUUUUGUAGCUUCAGAUUCAAAUGAGGAGUUGUUAGUGCUCUCUGAGCUUGGUUGCUUUCUUGCAGACAUUUCAUUAUCCAAUCUAGGUAACAUCAGCAGUGCUAGUAGAGUUUGCUCUUUGUUUAUAUUAUAGUGGCUUACCCUGUUAGUGUUGGUGGGAACGGUCUUACAG